rnacentral:rRNA from 1 species
AUAGGGUGCGAGCGUUAAUCGGAAUUACUGGGGCGUAAAGCGUGCGCAGGCGGUUGUGCAAGACAGAUGUGAAAUCCCCCGGGGCUCAACCUGGGGAAUUGCAUUUGUGACUGCACGGCUAGAGUGUGUCAGAGGGGGGUAGAAUUCCACGUGUAGCAGUGAAAUGCGUAGAGAUGUGGAGGAAUACCGAUGGCGAAGGCAGCCCCCCUGGGAUAACACUGACGCUCAUGCACGAAAGCGUGGGGAGCAAACAGGAUUAGAUACCCUGGUAGUCCACGCCCUAAACGAUGUCAACUAGUUGUCGGGUCUUAAUUGACUUGGUAACGCAGCUAACGCGUGAAGUUGACCGCCUGGGGAGUACGGUCGCAAGAUUA